GGUAGCACAGAGAGCUUGCUCUUGGGUGACGAGUGGCGGACGGGUGAGUAAUGUCUGGGGAUCUGCCCGAUAGAGGGGGAUAACCACUGGAAACGGUGGCUAAUACCGCAUAACGUCGCAAGACCAAAGAGGGGGACCUUCGGGCCUCUCACUAUCGGAUGAACCCAGAUGGGAUUAGCUAGUAGGCGGGGUAAUGGCCCACCUAGGCGACGAUCCCUAGCUGGUCUGAGAGGAUGACCAGCCACACUGGAACUGAGACACGGUCCAGACUCCUACGGGAGGCAGCAGUGGGGAAUAUUGCACAAUGGGCGCAAGCCUGAUGCAGCCAUGCCGCGUGUAUGAAGAAGGCCUUCGGGUUGUAAAGUACUUUCAGCGGGGAGGAAGGCGACGGGGUUAAUAACCGCGUCGAUUGACGUUACCCGCAGAAGAAGCACCGGCUAACUCCGUGCCAGCAGCCGCGGUAAUACGGAGGGUGCAAGCGUUAAUCGGAAUUACUGGGCGUAAAGCGCACGCAGGCGGUCUGUUAAGUCAGAUGUGAAAUCCCCGGGCUUAACCUGGGAACUGCAUUUGAAACUGGCAGGCUUUGAGUCUUGUAGAGGGGGGUAGAAUUCCAGGUGUAGCGGUGAAAUGCGUAGAGAUCUGGAGGAAUACCGGUGGCGAAGGCGGCCCCCUG
rnacentral:rRNA from 1 species